AUUGAACGCUGGCGGCAUGCCUUACACAUGCAAGUCGAACGGCAGCACGGGUGCUUGCACCUGGUGGCGAGUGGCGAACGGGUGAGUAAUGCAUCGGAACGUACCAUUGAGUGGGGGAUAACGUAGCGAAAGUUACGCUAAUACCGCAUAUUCUCUUCGGAGGAAAGCAGGGGAUCGUAAGACCUUGCGCUCUUUGAGCGGCCGAUGUCGGAUUAGCUAGUUGGUGGGGUAAAGGCCCACCAAGGCGACGAUCCGUAGCUGGUCUGAGAGGAUGAUCAGCCACACUGGGACUGAGACACGGCCCAGACUCCUACGGGAGGCAGCAGUGGGGAAUUUUGGACAAUGGGGGCAACCCUGAUCCAGCCAUGCCGCGUGAGUGAAGAAGGCCUUCGGGUUGUAAAGCUCUUUCGCGAGGGAAGAAGACGUACAGGCUAAUACCCUGUGCGGAUGACGGUACCUUGAUAAGAAGCACCGGCUAACUACGUGCCAGCCGCCGCGGUAAUAC
rnacentral:rRNA from 1 species